rnacentral:piRNA from 1 species
GCAGAGAAACCCAGCCGGUGGCAGGAGAGC